ACACACAGCACAUGUAUGUGACAGGUACACAGGUGACUGUAUAUGCACAGACGGCAGUAAUAGGACAGCAGUAAGAAGACAAGUCAGAGGACAGCAGUAAAACCACUGCAGCUGAGAAGGUCCUGGAGAACCAUUAAGGGUCAUAUAAACAUCACAAUCACCUUGAAGCGACAGAAAUCUCAUCUUCUCAAAGCAAGAAGAACAUAAAACAUCCCAAAGGAAAGAGGUGACGAGAACUUCUUGCCACUAUGUGGACGGUGGGGAGAUUCGCACUCUUUCUUUUGACUGCCACAGCAAUAAAAGGCCAAAAUACAAACGAAACGACUACAACUCCAACGGCAACCGAAAACACAACCACUCCGACCACAACAGUGACAUCAGGUACUACAGAAAUGAUUACAAUGACAACGACAACCGAAAGCACAACCACGCCGACCACUACUGCGACGUCAACUACAACUGAAACGACUACUACUCCAACGACAACCGAAAGCACAACCACUCCGACCACUACUGCAACGUCAACUACUCCUGAAAUGACUACAACUCCCACAACAACCGAAACCACAAACACUCCAACCACGACCGCGACGUCAACCACUACUGAAACGACUACAACUCCCACAACAACCGAAAGCACAACCACUCCGACCACUACCUCUGCGUCAACUACUACUGAAAUGACUACACCUCCCUCGACAACUGAAACCACCACCACGCUGAGCACUGCCGCGAUAUCAACAGCUACUGCAACGACUACAACUCCCACGACAACCGAAAGCAUCACCACGCCGACCACUACCGCGACUUCAACUACUUCUGAAACGACGUCAACUCCCACGACAACCGAAACCACCACCACGCCGACCACUGCUGCGGUGUCACCCACUUCCGCGACGUCAACUAUUACUGAAAUGACUACAACUCCCAUGACAACCGAAAGCACAACCACGCCGACCACUACCGUGGCCUCAGCUACUACUGAAACGACCACCACGCUGACUACUGCUGCGGCGUCAACCACUUCCACGACGUCAACCACUACUGAAACGACAACUCCCAUGACAACUGAAAGCAUAACCACGCCAACCACUACUGCGACGUCAACUUCUACUGCAACUACUACAACUCCCACAACAAUCGAAAGCACAACCACCACGCCGACCACUGCCGCGGCGUCAACCACUUCCACGACGUCAACUACUACUGCAACGACUACAAUUCCCACGAGAACUGAAACCACCACCACGCCGACUACUGCCGCAGCGUCAACCACUUCUGCGACGUCAACUACUACAGCAAGGACAACAACUCCCACGAUAACCGAAAGCAUAACCACGCCAACCACUACUGCAACGUCAACUACAACUGAAACGACUACUACUCCAACGACAACCGAAAGCACAACCACUCCGACCACUACCGCAACGUCAACUACUCCUGAAAUGACUACAACUCCCACAACAACCGAAAGCACAACCACUCCGACCACUACCGCGACGUCAACCACUACUGAAAUGAUUACACCUCCCACGACAACCGAAACCACAAACACUCCAACCACGACCGCGACGUCAACCACUACUGAAACGACUACAACUCCCACAACAACCGAAAGCAUAACCACACCAACCACUACUGCAACGUCAACUUCUACUGAAACUACUACAACUCCCACGACAACCGGAACCACCACCACGCCGACCACUGCUGCGGCAUCACCCACUACCGCGACGUCAACUACUACAGCAACGACUACAACUCCCACAACAACCGAAAGCACAACCACUCCGACCACUACCUCUGCGUCAACCACUACUGAAACGACCACAACUCCCACAACAACCGAAAGCAUAACCACACCAACCACUACUGCAACGUCAACUUCUACUGAAACUACUACAACUCCCACGACAACCGGAACCACCACCACGCCGACCACUGCUGCGGCAUCACCCACUACCGCGAUGUCAACUACUACUGAAACGACAACAACUCCCACGACAAUCGGAACCACCACCACGCCGACCACUGCUGCGGCAUCACCCACUACCGCGACGUCAACUACUACAGCAACGACAACAACUCCCACGACAACCCAAAGCACAACAGCUCCGACCACUACCUCUGCGUCAACUACUACUGAAACGACAACAACUCCCACGACAACCGAAACCACCACCAUGCCGAACACUGCCGCGACGUCAACCACUACUGCAACGACUACAACUCCCACGACAACCGGAACCACCACCACGCCGACGACUGCCGCGGUGUCAACCACUUCUGCGACGUCAACUACUACAGCAACGACAACAACUCCCACGAUAACCGAAAGCAUAACCACGCCAACCACUACUGCGACGUCAACUACAACUGAAACGACUACUACUCCAACGACAACCGAAAGCACAACCACUCCGACCACUACCGCAACGUCAACUACUCCUGAAAUGACUACAACUCCCACGACAACCGAAACCACAAACACUCCAACCACGACCGCGACGUCAACCACUACUGAAACGACUACAACUCCCACAACAACCGAAAGCACAACCACUCCGACCACUACCUCUGCGUCAAUCACUACUGAAAUGACUACAACUCCCACGACAACCGGAACCACCACCAUGCCGAACACUGCCGCGACGUCAACCACUACUGCAACGACUACAACUCCCACGACAACCGGAACCACCACCAUGCCGACCACUGCCGCGACGUCAACCACUACUGAAACGACUACAACUCCCACAACAACCGAAAGCAUAACCACACCAACCACUACUGCAACGUCAACUUCUACUGAAACUACUACAACUCCCACGACAACCGGAACCACCACCACGCCGACCACUGCUGCGGCAUCACCCACUACCGGAACGUCAACGACUUCUGAAAUGACUACAACUCCCACGAGAACCGAAACCACCACCACGCCGACCACUGCUGCGGCAUCACCCACUACCGCAACGUCAACUACUAAAGCAACGACUACAACUCCCACAACAACCGAAAGCACAACCACUCCGACCACUACCUCUGCGUCAACCACUACUGAAACGACCACAACUCCCACAACAACCGAAAGCAUAACCACACCAACCACUACUGCAACGUCAACUUCUACUGAAACUACUACAACUCCCACGACAACCGGAACCACCACCACGCCGACCACUGCUGCGGCAUCACCCACUACCGCGAUGUCAACUACUACUGAAACGACAACAACUCCCACGACAACCGGAACCACCACCACGCCGACCACUGCUGCGGCAUCACCCACUACCGCGACGUCAACUACUACAGCAACGACAACAACUCCCACGACAACCCAAAGCACAACAGCUCCGACCACUACCUCUGCGUCAACUACUACUGAAACGACAACAACUCCCACGACAACCGAAACCACCACCAUGCCGAACACUGCCGCGACGUCAACCACUACUGCAACGACUACAACUCCCACGACAACCGGAACCACCACCAUGCCGACCACUGCCGCGACGUCAACCACUACUGAAACAACCACAACUCCCACAACAACCGAAAGCAUAACCACACCAACCACUACUGCAACGUCAACUUCUACUGAAACGACCACAACUCCCACAACAACCGAAAGCAUAACCACUCCGACCACUACCUCUGCGUCAACCACUACUGAAACGACCACAACUCCCAGAACAACCGAAAGCAUAACCACACCAACCACUACCGCGACGUCAACUUCUACUGAAACUACUACAACUCCCACGACAACCGGAACCACCACCACGCCGACGACUGCCGCGGUGUCAACCACUUCUGCGACGUCAACUACUACAGCAACGACAACAACUCCCACGAUAACCGAAAGCAUAACCACGCCAACCACUACUGCGACGUCAACUACAACUGAAACGACUACUACUCCAACGACAACCGAAAGCACAACCACUCCGACCACUACCGCAACGUCAACUACACCUGAAAUGACUACAACUCCCACGACAACCGAAACCACAAACACUCCAACCACGACCGCGACGUCAACCACUACUGAAACGACUACAACUCCCACAACAACCGAAAGCACAACCACUCCGACCACUACCUCUGCGUCAACCACUACUGAAAUGACUACAACUCCCACGACAACCGGAACCACCACCAUGCCGAACACUGCCGCGACGUCAACCACUACUGCAACGACUACAAAGCCCACGACAACCGGAACCACCACCAUGCCGACCACUGCCGCGACGUCAACCACUACUGAAACAACCACAACUCCCACAACAACCGAAAGCAUAACCACACCAACCACUACUGCAACGUCAACUUCUACUGAAACUACUACAACUCCCACGACAACCGGAACCACAACCACGCCGACCACUGCUGCGGCAUCACCCACUACCGGAACGUCAACGACUACUGAAAUGACAACAACUCCCACGACAAUCGAAACCACAACCACCACGCCGACCACUGCCGCGGCGUCAACCACUUCCACGAUGUCAACUACUACUGCAACGACUACAACUCCCACGACAACCCAAAGCACAACAGCUCCAACCACUACCGCGACGUCAACUACUACAGCAACGACAACAACUCCCACGACAACCGAAACCACCACCAUGCCGACCACUGCCGCGACGUCAACCACUACUGAAACGACCACAACUCCCAUGACAACCGAAACCACCACCACGGCGACGACUGCCGCGAUGUCAACAGCUACAGCAACGACAACAACUCAAACAACAACCGAAAGCAUAACCACACCAACCACUACCGCGACGUCAACUUCUACUGCAACUACUACAACUCCCACGACAAUCGAAACCACAACCACCACGCCGACCACUGCCGCGGCGUCAACCACUUCCACGACGUCAACUACUACAGCAACGACAACAACUCCCACGACAACCCAAAGCACAACAGCUCCGACCACUACCGCGACGUCAACUACGACUGCAACGACUAAAACUCCCACGACAAUCGAAACCACCACCACCACGCCGACUACUGCCGUGGCGUCAACCACUUCUGCGACGUCAACUACUACAGCAACGACUACAACUCCCAUGACAACCGAAACCACCACCAUGCCGACCACUACCGCGACGUCAACCACUACUGAAAUGACCACAACUCCCUUGACAACCGAAACCACCACCACGGCGACCACUGCCGCGAUGUCAACAGCUACAGCAAUGACCACAACUCCCACAACAACCGAAAGCAUAACCACACCAACCACUACUGCAACGUCAACUUCUACUGAAACUACUACAACUCCCACGACAACCGGAACCACCACCACGCCGACCACUGCUGCGGCAUCACCCACUACCGCGAUGUCAACUACUACUGAAACGACAACAACUCCCACGACAAUCGGAACCACCACCACGCCGACCACUGCUGCGGCAUCACCCACUACCGCGACGUCAACUACUACAGCAACGACAACAACUCCCACGACAACCCAAAGCACAACAGCUCCGACCACUACCUCUGCGUCAACUACUACUGAAACGACAACAACUCCCACGACAACCGAAACCACCACCAUGCCGAACACUGCCGCGACGUCAACCACUACUGCAACGACUACAACUCCCACGACAACCGGAACCACCACCAUGCCGACCACUGCCGCGACGUCAACCACUACUGAAACAACCACAACUCCCACAACAACCGAAAGCAUAACCACACCAACCACUACUGCAACGUCAACUUCUACUGAAACGACCACAACUCCCACAACAACCGAAAGCAUAACCACUCCGACCACUACCUCUGCGUCAACCACUACUGAAACGACCACAACUCCCAGAACAACCGAAAGCAUAACCACACCAACCACUACCGCGACGUCAACUUCUACUGAAACUACUACAACUCCCACGACAACCGGAACCACCACCACGCCGACGACUGCCGCGGUGUCAACCACUUCUGCGACGUCAACUACUACAGCAACGACAACAACUCCCACGAUAACCGAAAGCAUAACCACGCCAACCACUACUGCGACGUCAACUACAACUGAAACGACUACUACUCCAACGACAGCCGAAAGCACAACCACUCCGACCACUACCGCAACGUCAACUACUCCUGAAAUGACUACAACUCCCACGACAACCGAAACCACAAACACUCCAACCACGACCGCGACGUCAACCACUACUGAAACGACUACAACUCCCACAACAACCGAAAGCACAACCACUCCGACCACUACCUCUGCGUCAACCACUACUGAAAUGACUACAACUCCCACGACAACCGGAACCACCACCAUGCCGAACACUGCCGCGACGUCAACCACUACUGCAACGACUACAAAGCCCACGACAACCGGAACCACCACCAUGCCGACCACUGCCGCGACGUCAACCACUACUGAAACAACCACAACUCCCACAACAACCGAAAGCAUAACCACACCAACCACUACUGCAACGUCAACUUCUACUGAAACUACUACAACUCCCACGACAACCGGAACCACAACCACGCCGACCACUGCUGCGGCAUCACCCACUACCGGAACGUCAACGACUACUGAAAUGACAACAACUCCCACGACAGUCGAAACCACAACCACCACGCCGACCACUGCCGCGGCGUCAACCACUUCCACGAUGUCAACUACUACUGCAACGACUACAACUCCCACGACAACCCAAAGCACAACAGCUCCAACCACUACCGCGACGUCAACUACUACAGCAACGACAACAACUCCUACGACAACCGAAACCACCACCAUGCCGACCACUGCCGCGACGUCAACCACUACUGAAACGACCACAACUCCCAUGACAACCGAAACCACCACCACGGCGACGACUGCCGCGAUGUCAACAGCUACAGCAACGACAACAACUCAAACAACAACCGAAAGCAUAACCACGCCAACCACUACUGCGACGUCAACUUCUACUGCAACUACUACAACUCCCACGACAAUCGAAACCACAACCACCACGCCGACCACUGCCGCGGCGUCAACCACUUCCACGACGUCAACUACUACAGCAACGACAACAACUCCCACGACAACCCAAAGCACAACAGCUCCGACCACUACCGCGACGUCAACUACGACUGCAACGACUAAAACUCCCACGACAAUCGAAACCACCACCACCACGCCGACUACUGCCGUGGCGUCAACCACUUCUGCGACGUCAACUACUACAGCAACGACUACAACUCCCAUGACAACCGAAACCACCACCAUGCCGACCACUACCGCGACGUCAACCACUACUGAAAUGACCACAACUCCCUUGACAACCGAAACCACCACCACGGUGACCACUGCCGCGAUGUCAACAGCUACAGCAAUGACCACAACUCCCACAACAACCGAAAGCAUAACCACGCCAACCACUACUGCGACGUCAACUUCUACUGCAACUACUACAACUCCCACGACAACCGGAACCACCACCACGCCGACCACUGCUGCGGCAUCACCCACUACCGCGACGUCAACUACUACUGCAACGACUACAACUCCCACGACAACCGAAACAACCACCACCCUGACAAGUACCACGAUGUCAACUACUACUGAAACGACAACAACUCCCACGACAACCGGAACCACCACCAUGCCGAACACUGCCGCGACGUCAACCACUACUGCAACGACUACAACUCCCACGACAACCGGAACCACCACCAUGCCGACCACUGCCGCGACGUCAACCACUACUGCAACGACUACAACUCCUACGACAACCGGAACCACCACCAUGCUGACCACUGCCGCGACGUCAACCACUACUGAAAUGACAACUCCCACGACAACUGAAAGCACAACCACGCCGACCACUGCCGCGACUUCAACUACUACUGCAACGACUACAACUCCCACGACAACCCAAAGCACAACAGCUCCAACCACUACCACGACGUCAACUACUUCAGCAACGACAACAACUCCCAUGACAACCGAAACCACCACCAUGCCGACCACUGCCGCGACGUCAACCACUACUGAAAUGACCACAACUCCCUUGACAACCGAAACCACCACCACGGCGACCACUGCCGCGAUGUCAACAGCUACAGCAACGACUACAACUCCCACAACAACCGAAAGCACAACCACUCCGACCACUACCUCUGCGUCAACUACUACAGCAACGACAGCAACUCCCACGACAACCGGAACCACCACCAUGGCGACCACUGCCGCGACGUCAACCACUACUGAAAUGACCACAACUCCCAUGACAACCGAAACCACCACCACGGCGACCACUGCUGCGGCAUCACCCACUACCGCGACGUCAACUACUACAGCAACGACAACAACUCCCACGACAACCCAAAGCACAACAGCUCCGACCACUACCGUGACGUCAACUACUACAGCAACGACAACAACUCCCACGACAACCGAAACAACCACCACCCUGACAAGUACCACGAUGUCAACUACUACUGAAACGACAACAACUCCCACGACAACCGGAACCACCACCAUGCCGAACACUGCCGCGACGUCAACCACUACUGCAACGACUACAACUCCUACGACAACCGGAACCACCACCAUGACGACCACUGCCGCGACGUCAACCACUACUGAAAUGACAACUCCCACGACAACUGAAAGCACAACCACGCCGACCACUGCCGCGACUUCAACUACUACUGCAACGACUACAACUCCCACGACAACCCAAAGCACAACAGCUCCAACCACUACCGCGACGUCAACUACUACAGCAAUGACAACAACUCCCACGACAACCGAAACCACCACCAUGCCGACCACUGCCGCGACGUCAACCACUACUGAAACGACCACAACUCCCAUGACAACCGAAACCACCACCACGGCGACCACUGCCGCGAUGUCAACUACUACUGCAACGACUACAACUCCCACGACAACCCAAAGCACAACAGCUCCAACCACUACCGCGACGUCAAGUACUUCAGCAACGACUACAACUCCCACGACAACCCAAAGCACAACAGCUCCAACCACUACCGCGACGUCAACUACUUCAGCAACGACAACAACUCCCAUGACAACCGAAACCACCACCAUGCCGACCACUGCAGCGACGUCAACCACUACUGAAACGACCACAACUCACAUGACAACCGAAACCACCACCACGGCGACGACUGCCGCGAUGUCAACAGCUACCGCAACGACAACAACUCCCACAACAACCGAAAGCAUAACCACGCCAACCACUACCGCGACGUCAACUUCUACUGCAACUACUACAACUCCCACGACAAUCGAAACCACAACCACCACGCCGACCACUGCCGCGGCGUCAACCACUUCCACGACGUCAACUACUACAGCAACGACAACAACUCCCACGACAACCCAAAGCACAACAGCUCCGACCACUACCGCGACGUCAACUACGACUGCAACGACUAAAACUCCCACGACAAUCGAAACCACCACCACCACGCCGACUACUGCCGCGGCGUCAACCACUUCUGCGACGUCAACUACUACAGCAACGACUACAACUCCCAUGACAACCGAAACCACCACCAUGCCGACCACUACCGCGACGUCAACCACUACUGAAAUGACCACAACUCCCUUGACAACCGAAACCACCACCACGGCGACCACUGCCGCGAUGUCAACAGCUACAGCAACGACCACAACUCCCACAACAACCGAAAGCAUAACCACGCCAACCACUACUGCGACGUCAACUUCUACUGCAACUACUACAACUCCCACGACAACCGGAACCACCACCACGCCGACCACUGCUGCGGCAUCACCCACUACCGCGACGUCAACUACUACUGCAACGACUACAACUCCCACGACAACCCAAAGCACAACAGCUCCGACCACUACCGUGACGUCAACUACUACAGCAACGACAACAACUCCCACGACAACCGAAACAACCACCACCCUGACAAGUACCACGAUGUCAACUACUGCUGAAACGACAACAACUCCCACGACAACCGGAACCACCACCAUGCCGAACACUGCCGCGACGUCAACCACUACUGCAACGACUACAACUCCUACGACAACCGGAACCACCACCAUGCCGACCACUGCCGCGACGUCAACCACUACUGAAAUGACAACUCCCACGACAACUGAAAGCACAACCACGCCGACCACUGCCGCGACUUCAACUACUACUGCAACGACUACAACUCCCACGACAACCCAAAGCACAACAGCUCCAACCACUACCGCGACGUCAACUACUUCAGCAACGACAACAACUCCCAUGACAACCGAAACCACCACCAUGCCGACCACUGCCGCGACGUCAACCACUACUGAAACGACCACAACUCCCAUGACAACCGAAACCACCACCACGGCGACGACUGCCGCGAUGUCAACAGCUACAGCAACGACAACAACUCCCACAACAACCGAAAGCAUAACCACGCCAACCACUACUGCGACGUCAACUUCUACUGCAACUACUACAACUCCCACGACAAUCGAAACCACAACCACCACGCCGACCACUGCCGCGGCGUCAACCACUUCCACGACGUCAACUACUACAGCAACGACAACAACUCCCACGACAACCCAAAGCACAACAGCUCCGACCACUACCGAGACGUCAACUACUACAGCAACGACUACAACUCCCAUGACAACCGAAACCACCACCAUGCCGACCACUACCGCGACGUCAACCACUACUGAAAUGACCACAACUCCCUUGACAACCGAAACCACCACCACGGCGACCACUGCCGCGAUGUCAACAGCUACAGCAACGACCACAACUCCCACAACAACCGAAAGCAUAACCACGCCAACCACUACUGCGACGUCAACUUCUACUGCAACUACUACAACUCCCACGACAACCGGAACCACCACCACGCCGACCACUGCUGCGGCAUCACCCACUACCGCGACGUCAACUACUACUGCAACGACUACAACUCCCACGACAACCGAAACAACCACCACCCUGACAAGUACAACGAUGUCAACUACUACUGAAACGACAACCACUCCCACGACAACCGGAACCACCACCAUGCCGAACACUGCCGCGACGUCAACCACUACUGCAACGACUACAACUCCUACGACAACCGGAACCACCACCAUGCCGACCAGUGCCGCGACGUCAACCACUACUGAAAUGACAAAUCCCACGACAACCCAAAGCACAACAGCUCCAACCACUACCGCGACGUCAACUACUACAGCAACGACAACAACUCCCAUGACAACCGAAACCACCACCAUACCGACCACUGCCGCGACGUCAACCACUACUGCAACGACUACAACUCCUACGACAACCGGAACCACCACCAUGCCGACCAGUGCCGCGACGUCAACCACUACUGAAAUGACAACUCCCACGACAACUGAAAGCACAACCACGCCGACCACUGCCGCGACUUCAACUACUACUGCAACGACAACAACUCCCAUGACAACCGAAACCACCACCAUGCCGACCACUGCCGCGAUGUCAACAGCUACAGCAACGACAAC
ensembl:lncRNA